GAUGAAGAACGUAGCGAAAUGCGAUAAGUAGUGUGAAUUCCAGAAUUCAGUGAAUCAUCGAAUCUUUGAACGCACAUUGCGCCCCUUGGUAUUCCAUGGGGCAUGCCUGUUCGAGCGUCAUUUGUACCUUCAAGCUCUGCUUGGUGUUGGGUGUUUGUCUCGCCUCUGCGUGUAGACUCGCCUCAAAACAAUUGGCAGCCGGCGUAUUGAUUUCGGAGCGCAGUACAUCUCGCGCUUUGCACUCAUAACGACGACGUCCAAAAGUACAUUUUUACACUCUUGACCUCGGAUCAGGUAGGGAUACCCGCUGAACUUAAGCAUAUCAAUAAGCGGAGGA
rnacentral:misc_RNA from 1 species